rnacentral:rRNA from 1 species
AACGUAGGAGACAAACGUUAUCCGGAGUUACUGGGCGUAAAGGGCGUGUAGGUGGUAUCGUAAGUCUGGCGUGAAAUUUUUCGGCUUAACCGAGGCAGGUCGUCGGAUACUGCGAGGCUAGAGGACGGUAGAGGCGUGUGGAAUUCCGGGUGUAGUGGUGAAAUGCGUAGAGAUCCGGAGGAACACCAGUGGCGAAGGCGACACGCUGGGCCGUACCUGACACUGAUGCGCGACAGCAUGGGGAGCAAACAGG